rnacentral:rRNA from 1 species
GAACUCAAACAACUUUUAACAACUUCCUUUUGUAUAAGGAGUAACUAAAAAUCCAGAUACAAAUCUAUAAUAGAAAGAUAGUAAACUACAAGUACUUAAAAUUUACGUGAAAUUUAACACCAAAAUACUUGAAGAGGAGAUACUCCACACACUAUCUGAUAACUAUUUCAAAACAAAUUUAGUAUAAGCUAAACAAUAUACAAUGACACCUUAGCUAACAGGUUCAGAAUCAACCAAUAUAACAGUUCGUAAUUGACUAGCCCACUACUCAUCAGCAAUCACCACAGAUCACUCAAAACUAAAGACUGAUAAACUAUAGUUACACCAGUAAGAACAACAAAAUUUGCAUGUUAAAACUCGGCAACCAGCCUUCUACUGUUUAAUAAAAACAUUGUAACACAGAUGUGUUAUAACCUCCUGCCCAAUGAAAAUACUUGAAUGGCCGCGGUAAUUUGACCGUGCAAAGGUAGCAUAAUAAAUUGUUUAAUAAAUUUAAACUAGAAUGAAAGGAAUAAAGAAGGAUUACUAUUAACAUACAAUUAACAGAAACUAUAAUUAAGGUGAGAAUUCCUUAUAACAACUUUAAAACGAGAAGACCCUAGAAACUAAUCAUCACAACUUUUUUUGGGAUAAAACUUUAAAACAAAAGAACCACCACCCUCUUAAAUAGAACAGUUACUCUAGGGAUAACAGCACAAUAAAAGCUAAGAGAACUCAUCUACCCUUUAGAUUGUGACCUCGAUGUUGAAUCAAGGAUUAUUAGUCGCAGAAGACUAACAAGUUUCGUCUGUUCGACGAUUCAAAAAUACGUGAUUUGAGUUUAAACCGUCGCAAGACAGGUUGGAUUCUCUUUAAAGCUGUAUCACACAACUUCUAUUAGUACGAAAGGAACGUAAUACUUAAUAAUCAUUAUGAAAAAAUUCACAAUAAAAUUAAGCAUAAACCUC